CCCUUGGAGACCUGGCCAGUGUCCUGAUAACGUCCCCUUUAAGAAAAAACUGCUCCCUCCCUCCUCUCUCCCCGCUCCCUUCCUCUCUCCUGCCACAAGGUAGCUGCACACCUUCUCUUUUCCUUUCUUCCCCUUUCUGUCUCUCUUCUUCUCCUUCUUCUUCCUCUCUUAGCCCCCACCUGCUUUCCCCCUCUUCCUUCCUCCCUCCCCCUUUGAUACAACUUAACACAUGAGUGUGGCCUGCACGGUGUAAGUGACUUUGCACGGUGCCCCUUGCCUCCAUCUGCCAAGGCUGCUGUGCGCGCUGUUUUAAAAAUAUAGCAAGUAAGAUACUCGGUUUAAGGAGUCCAAUACUGCUAUGUGCUCUAGAUAUAAAAGAAGAUCACCAUGAGAGGGUGGGGCGAUCAGAGGACAACUCGAAGUAACUGGAUCUUCCACCAACUGGAUCCUGAGGCUGGAACUUAGGGUAUCAGGCUUGGUGGCAAACCAUCUUGAUUGCCCUCGACUUUCAUCUCAACCAGCGUACUGAGGAGACGCUGAACUCAGGGUGUCACCAACAACUCUUCCAAAAGUAAAUAAGUAAAGCCGAGGAAGUGUGGAAAUGAACCAGAAGGAAAGGGGACCUGAGUCUGAAUCCCUGUACUCACCUAAAAAGCCAGGUGCGGUAGCAGGUUCCAGAAAUCCCAGCACUGAGGAGACAGAGACAGCGUUUCUGGACCACCCUUGCUGGACAUCAACUCUCACAGGCUCAGAAGAAAACCAGGAUUUAUAAAGUCGAGCUCGAUGCAAAUAUUUCAAGGCUUAAUUUCCCCCCUCAAUACAACAGCAUAAGUUGCUUAGCGUUUCGGGUCCUCUAACAACAGAAGCAAAUGCAAGUGCAUUCAUUGAAAAUGAGCCCAGAAUAGAAAAGAAGAAGGCAGUGCAUUUGACAGACAUGUUAUUAAUAGUUUCUGCCAACUUGCCAUGCAUAAAGGGUUUAUUGGUUACAACACCAGUGUAUGAAGACAUUCUUUUCCUUGAAAUGUUCAAGAUGGUUGUUUUAUGGAUGAAAAAUGAAUGCAAUCUGUCUACCGCCACUCAAAAUUUGGGUUUCAAUAAUAAAAUUAA